AUCUUCCACAUAUUUGAGUAGUUCCAUUUUCUUCCUCUUCCCCCAAAACAGUGGCACAAAAAACCCUCAAUCUCCAAUCAGAACCCUACGCCGAUGAAAAACCCCAAUUCCUACUCUUACAGGAGCAGCACCGCUGUCGAUUACGACGACGAGGACAACGAUUUCGACGACAAUGAAGACAACCCCGACAAGAGCUUCGCCCAGAACGGCAAUUUCUACAAUUUCGAGAAUUCCAAGAGGCACCCCAAGAAGCGGAAGCUCGAAUCAUUCGUUUCCAACUACGAAUUCGCGCCGCGCAGCGAGGCAUGGAGCGAAGACGAGAGCUUCGUGCUGCUGGAGGUGUGGGGGGAGCGGUACAUGGAGCUCGGGAGGCGGAGCCUGAGGGCAGAGGACUGGGUCGACGUGAUGGAGAAGGUGGCGGAGAUGAGCGGGCGGGAGAGGACGGAGGCGGAGUGCCGGAGCCAAUUGGACGUGCUGAAGAACAAGUACAAGAAGGAGAUGGCGAAGGUGGAGAGCGGGAGUGUGAGCAAGUGGGUGUUUUUUAAGAAGAUGGAUGCGUUGUUGAACCUCAGGACGAGAGGGUAUGGCGGGUUGGGGUGUGGUCUGGAUUCGGGGGAGUACGUGUUUAUGAAUCCGCGAGUGUAUUUGGACAGGUCGAAUGUGUUGGAUGAGAUGAGGGAUAGCCCGGGGCAGUCGGAUGAGGAUAAUGAGGAGGAUGGGGGUGAUGAUGAUGAGGAGGAUUUGAGUGGGGAUAAUGUGGUGGAUGAUGAGUCUGCUAGAAUGUUGGCGGAUUCGAUUCAGAAGUUUGGAGAGGUGUAUGAGAAGAUUGAGGAGAGUAAGAGGAGGCAGAUGGUAGAGUUGGAGACCAUGAGGCAGGAUUUUCAGAGGGAUUUGGAGUUGCAGAAGAAGCAGAUUGUUGAGCGUGCGCAGGCUGAGAUUGCUAAGAUACGAGAACUGGAUGAUGACGAGGAUGAGAACACUGAUACUUCUGCUGAGAAUUUUGGAGAUUGAUGCAGUAAAUGCGGACUCUAAUCUCUGCUGAGGUGUGACUGGGCUCCAAAAACUCCAUGACAUUCAACAACUGGAAUACUUAAGUCAUUGGAUUGGAAGUGUUAUUUUCUUGGUCGGUCGGAGAAGGUGACAAGUUAAACCCUGGCAAAGAAGGGGAGUGAUUUCUCAAUGCGAGCAGUAUAAUGAUGCACGUGCUUGUACUAGAUUCUAGAUGGUAUCUCCGUGUCCCUUUAAAUAGUAAACUCGAUGCGGCUUUGCUGCAGCAGACUGCAUAUUUAUGUGUAGAAGGAUCCUCCUUGUUACUAAUAUUUAUUAAUAUUGUCAAUAUUUCCAGGUUCCAAAAAAUAAAAUAUUUCCAGCUUCUAAAUCUCA